GCGUUGUCCGGAAUCAUUGGGCGUAAAGCGCGCGUAGGCGGCCCGGUAAGUCCGCUGUAAAAGUCAAAGGCUCAACCUUUGAAUGCCGGUGGAUACUGUCGGGCUAGAGUCCGGAAGAGGCGAGUGGAAUUCCUGGUGUAGCGGUGGAAUGCGCAGAUAUCAGGAGGAACACCAAUAGCGAAGGCAGCUCGCUGGGACGGUACUGACGCUAAGGCGCGAAAGCGUG
rnacentral:rRNA from 1 species